rnacentral:rRNA from 1 species
GAUGAACGCUAGCGGCAGGCCUAAUACAUGCAAGUCGAACGGUAACAGGGAUAGCAAUAUCCGCUGACGAGUGGCGCACGGGUGCGUAACACGUAUGCAACCUACCUAUAACCGGGAGAUAGCUCGGAGAAAUUCGAAUUAAUGUCCCAUAAUAUCAUGAGAUGGCAUCGUUUUAUGAUUAAAGAUUUAUCGGUUAUGGAUGGGCAUGCGUUUGAUUAGCUAGUUGGUGAGGUAAUGGCUCACCAAGGCUACGAUCAAUAGGGGUCCUGAGAGGAUGAUCCCCCACACUGGUACUGAGAUACGGACCAGACUCCUACGGGAGGCAGCAGUAGGGAAUAUUGGGCAAUGGAGGCAACUCUGACCCAGCCAUGCCGCGUGAAGGAAGAAGGCCUUCUGGGUUGUAAACUUCUUUUAUUCGGGAAGAAGUGCGAUCAGGUGAACAAUCUGGUCGUUUGACGGUACCGGAUGAAUAAGCUCCGGCUAACUCCGUGCCAGCAGCCGCAGUAACAC